rnacentral:rRNA from 1 species
AUUAACGAAUUGUAGAUGGGGUUUGAUGCUGGCAUGCUAUUCUUUAGCUGCAUGUGCUCGCUCCAAUAUUCAUUAUUCUGAGGGUUUCCAAGUAGAUUGCUGUUUCUUGUGAUCUUUCUUGGAUUCCCUCUUCACAUACACUAUUAAGAAAUAUUGAACGUGCUUGUGCCGAUACGGCCUUAAUAAAAUACAACUUUUAACAACGGAUCUCUUGGCUCUCGCAUCGAUGAAGAACGCAGCGAAAUGCGAUAAGUAAUGUGAAUUGCAGAAUUCAGUGAAUCAUCGAAUCUUUGAACGCAUCUUGCGCUCCCUGGUAUUCCGGGGAGCACGCCUGUUCGAGUGUCGUGAAAUUCUCAAGCUAGAUGCUUUUUUGUAUCUCGGUUUGGUUAUUGGGCUCUGCCGUGUCCUUCAUUGGGACGGCUGGCCUUAAAGGCAUUAGCUGACCCUCAUGAGGCAUUGGUUCUACUCAGCGUGAUAAUAAUCUGACCGCUGAGGACAUCUUUCGGGAUGGCCAAUUCUCGUUUGGGUUGCUCUCUAAUCUGGAUUAUGGGUUGCCAACCAGCAAUCUAUUCCAUUUUCAACUUUGACCUCGAAUCAGGUGGGACUACCCGCUGAACUUAAGCAUAUC